GUGGUGCUGAGGAUCGAACCCGGGCCGCACGCAUGCCAGGAGGGAAGAGAUGGGAGCCUGGAGCACUUAAACUUCUUUCAAACAAGAUAAAACUUGUUUCCUUUGCUGCUUUUAAACUUGGAAAUAAAGAAUAGUUACCAGCAA